rnacentral:rRNA from 1 species
AUUGAACGCUGGCGGCAUGCCUUACACAUGCAAGUCGAACGGCAGCAUAGAGGGCUUGCUCUCUGAUGGCGAGUGGCGAACGGGUGAGUAAAGCAUCGGAACGUACCGUGUAGUGGGGGAUAACGUAGCGAAAGUUACGCUAAUACCGCAUACGUACUGAGGUAGAAAGCAGGGGAUCGUAAGACCUUGCGCUAUACGAGCGGCCGAUGUCAGAUUAGCUAGUUGGUAGGGCAAAGGCCUACCAAGGCGACGAUCUGUAGCGGGUCUGAGAGGAUGAUCCGCCACACUGGGACUGAGACACGGCCCAGACUCCUGCGGGAGGCAGCAGUGGGGAAUUUUGGCCAAUGGGGCAACCCUGAUCCAGCCAUGCCGCGUGAGUGAAGAAGGCCUUCGGGUUGUAAAGCUCUUUCGGCCGGGAAGAAAUCGCACAGGCUAAUACCCUGUGUGGAUGACGGUACCGGCAUAAGAAGCACCGGCUAACUACGUGCCAGCAGCCGCCGUAA